GGAGGUGGAGAGGAGCCGGGCUGUGUCCGCUUUGCCCCUGACACGAGGACUGUCCCUCGUUCUGUGAGCAACUCUGCCUUCAUUUCCCAGAGGAGAAAAGAGCUGUAAGGAUGACGUCAGUUUGCGCAUCCCCGCACUGUGACUCUCCUGGGAACGCGAGAUCCGGGACCACUGCGAGGCCAGCUGGGUGGACGUCCUAACAGCCCGACCGGCCACUGCCAUCUACAGUGAGGGUCCAAAAAUCGCUGAAGGGAGACCCCAGACUCAGAUAGUAUGCAAAGGUGUUUAUUCUGCAGAAACUGCCAGAAUCCAGGGGUCAACCAUGCCUCCAAAUGUCAGCGGCUUGAGCGGCUCAUAGACCCCCUUUGAUGCAGGACUAGAGAAGUUUUCCAGAAGGAAAACCUUCACAAGUUCAAGUCCUCCCAGCAACGGGAUUUGGAAGCAUGACUGAAAGAUUCUUCAGUGAGUUGGGCUUCAGAUUUCACAGGCCGUAAUUUUGCUCCUUUGAUCGUAGAAAAACACUGUGAGCAGAACAGACCGACUUUCCUGGAUGCUUCGGACUGUCCCCAGGUGCCUGUUAUGGUACCAAAAAUAAAAGUACGAAAGAAAG